GCUCCCAUCGUAUAGGUGGUCAAUACAAGCGCAUGGUAAGCGUUAAACGUCAGUUCGAAUCUGGCUGGGAGCA
rnacentral:tRNA from 1 species